rnacentral:rRNA from 1 species
AUUGAACGCUGGCGGAAUGCUUUACACAUGCAAGUCGAACGGCAGCACGGACUUCGGUCUGGUGGCGAGUGGCGAACGGGUGAGUAAUAUAUCGGAACGUAUCCAAUAAUGGGGGAUAACUAAUCGAAAGGUUGGCUAAUACCGCAUACGUCCUACGGGAGAAAGCUAGGGACCUUCGGGCCUGGCGUUAAUGGAGCGGCCGAAAUCGGAUUAGCUAGUUGGUGAGGUAAAGGCCCACCAAGGCGACGAUCCGUAGCUGGUCUGGGAGGACGACCAGCCACACUGGAACUGAGACACGGUCCAGACUCCUACGGGAGGCAGCAGUGGGGAAUUUUGGACAAUGGGCGCAAGCCUGAUCCAGCCAUUCCGCGUGAGUGAAGAAGGCCUUCGGGUUGUAAAGCUCUUUCGCAAGGGAAGAAAACUUACCCUCUAACAUAGGGUGAGGUUGACGGUACCUUGAUAAGAAGCACCGGCUAACUACGUGCCAGCAGCCGCGGUAA